GUCCUGAUGGCUCAAUCGGUAGAGCGUCUGACUAUAAGUCAGGCGGUCGUUGGUUCGAGUCCGGUGGAGGUCU
rnacentral:tRNA from 1 species